GUAGGGUGCGAGCGUUAAUCGGGAAUUACUGGGGCGUAAAGCGUGCGCAGGCGGUUAUAUAAGGACAGAUGUGAAAUCCCCCGGGGGCUCAACCUGGGAACUGCAUUUGUGACUGCAUGGCUAGAGUACGGUAGAGGGGGAUGGAAUUCCGCGUGUAGCAGUGAAAUGCGUAGAUAUGCGGAGGAACACCGAUGGCGAAGGCAAUCCCCUGGACCUGUACUGACGCUCAUGCACGAAAGCGUGGGGAGCAAACAGGAUUAGAUACCCUGGUAGUCCACGCCCUAAACGAUGUCAACUGGUUGUUGGGAAUUAGUUUUCUCAGUAACGAAGCUAACGCGUGAAGUUGACCGCCUGGGGAGUACGGCCGCAAGGUUG
rnacentral:rRNA from 1 species